AGUGAACGCUGGCGGUAUGCCUAACACAUGCAAGUCGAACGGCAGCACAGUAAGAUCUUUCUCUUACGGUUGGCGAGUGACGGACGGGUGAGGAAUAGAUCGGAAUCUAAUUUUUCGGGGGGGAUAACGCAGGGAAACUGACGAUAAUACCGCAUACGACCUACGGGUGGAUUCAGUGGAUCUUCGGGGCUUUCGUGUUUGAAUUAGCCGGUGUCGGAUUAGCUAGUUGGGGGGGUAAAGGCCCACCAAGGCGACGAUCCGUAGCUGGUCUGAGAGGAUGAUCAGCCACACUGGAACUGAGACACGGUCCAGACUCCUACGGGAGGCAGCAGUAGGGAAUAUUGGACAAUGGGCGAAAGCCUGACCCAGCAAUACCGCGUGGGUGAAGAAGGCCUUCGGGUUGUAAAGCUCUUUUGUUGGGAAAGAAAAACAGCAGGUUAAUCCAUCGCCGUCCUGACGGUACCCAAACAAUAAGCACCGGCUAACUUCGUG
rnacentral:rRNA from 1 species